GAGAGGAAAGCAUUAAAGUGAAUAUGCGGUUGACUUGAAAUUAGCAGAUGGCAGUUAAAAUCUGUCUCUUCUCG
rnacentral:tRNA from 1 species